CUCACUAUGUUGUCCUGGAUGUCCUGGAGCUCACUCUGUAGACGAAACUGGCCAUGAACCCAAGAGAUCCACAUACCUCUGCCUAAGAAGUGCUGGGAUAAAAGAUGUGCACACCACACCCAGCUUUACAGCAACAUUUAUGGAAAUAGAUCUCCCAGUGGCUCUGGGAAGACCUCCCUGGGCAACAGUAGGGCCUCUGCACUUCUGUGACCCUAAACAAAGCUCGGAGGGACACCUCCCCCAGCAGGCUGAGCCACAAAAGCUCUGGGGAUCAGGAGAAACAAAAAGAGAGGGAAAUGGGAGUGCUGACAGAGCCAUUGGCCAUCGGCUACAGGACUAUAAAGAGGGCGUCCACAGACGAUGUGGCACCACAUGGAGACCCAGACUGUGCAGCGGGAGCUGGGUGAGUAAGGCUGUGGUGGUGCCCUUUGCCUUUCCUUUCUUUCUCCCAAGAGACAAAUGCACAAGAAGAACAGUUGUCUCCUGCUUAGAGGUUAGAGCCUUUGAAGGUAGAGAAAGUGGGUGGCUUUGAUCAGUGGACAGCUUCAUUUGUUACCUUGAGGAAUCACCUAUAUGGUAAUAACCGUAUCUAUAGAAACCAAGACAGGAGAUUAGUAAGAAAUAAACAGAUUAUGGGCACAAGGAGGUGUAAAGAGCAGGAGGUGCUGCUUAUCUGGGGACUCCACAUAGAAAUGCCGGAAUUUUUGUGCAUCAGUUCCUGGGCUGGAUGCCAGGGUAGAAUCCUGAAUGUUGGUUCUGAGUCUAGAAACCUGAUAUAUACCUUCUUUCUUCCUUCCCUCUCUUUCCCCUAUCCUUCUCAUCACACCAUCAAUGAUGACUACUUAACCUCUAUGGUCCUUAGUCCUCAUUCAUAAAAUGGGGGGUGGUGAUAGUAUUUGACUGGUGAGGACUAGAUACAUUAAUGCAAGUAAAGCAGAGGGUCUUUAUCAUAGAGUGAGCCAUUGUAUUUUUACAAUUACCCUUUCUUCAUUAUAAACACACACACACACACACA
rnacentral:lncRNA from 1 species